AGAGUUUGAUCCUGGCUCAGGAUGAACGCUGGCGGCAUGCCUAAUACAUGCAAGUCGAACGAGAGGAAGGAAAGCUUGCUUUUCUGAAUCUAGUGGCGAACGGGUGAGUAACACGUAGGUAACCUGCCCAUGUGCCCGGGAUAACUUCUGGAAACGGAUGCUAAAACCGGAUAGGUAGCAGACAAGCAUUUGACUGCUAUUAAAGUGGCUAAGGCCAUGAACAUGGAUGGACCUGCGGUGCAUUAGCUAGUUGGUGAGGUAACGGCCCACCAAGGCGACGAUGCAUAGCCGGCCUGAGAGGGCGGACGGCCACAUUGGGACUGAGACACGGCCCAAACUCCUACGGGAGGCAGCAGUAGGGAAUUUUCGUCAAUGGGGGGAACCCUGAACGAGCAAUGCCGCGUGAGUGAAGAAGGUCUUCGGAUCGUAAAGCUCUGUUGUAAGAGAAAAACGACAUUCAUAGGGAAUGAUGAGUGAGUGAUGGUAUCUUACCAGAAAGUCACGGCUAACUACGUGCCAGCAGCCGCGGUAAUACGUAGGUGGCGAGCGUUAUCCGGAAUGAUUGGGCGUAAAGGGUGCGUAGGUGGCAGAACAAGUCUGGAGUAAAAGGUAUGGGCUCAACCCGUACUGGCUCUGGAAACUGUUCAGCUAGAGAACAGAAGAGGACGGCGGAACCCCAUGUGUAGCGGUAAAAUGCGUAGAUAUAUGGAAGAACACCGGUGGCGAAGGCGGCCGUCUGGUCUGUUGCUGACACUGAAGCACGAAAGCGUGGGGAGCAAAUAGGAUUAGAUACCCUAGUAGUCCACGCCGUAAAC
rnacentral:rRNA from 1 species